rnacentral:lncRNA from 1 species
AUUCNGGGGCUUAAAUCGUAUGAAGAUCCGCCUAUUUCUGCGGAAGAACUAUUUAACAAGAAAGAGCAACUGAAGCAAGAAAUAUAUCCUAUCCUGAGCAAACCAAAGCCACAAGUUGAACAGCCUAGUGAAGCUUCAUCAGAAAAUAAACCAUCAAAUGAAAAUAAAGAAUAGAUUCGUUACUUACAGAAGUGUGGUCUCAUCUAUUUAUUUCAUCAUUCAUAAGUGAAGCUCAGAUGCAAUCACUCUGGAGGAUGCAUUGGGAAUUUUAAGACAGGAGACUAUGUUAUAUUAUAACCAGUUUUUAAUUCUGAUCUGGUUGAAAACUAACUAUUUUAAAUUGCCUCCGAAUCAUUCAAAUUCCAAUAAAUUCAUGCAAUAGCAGGUUAUUCUUUAUUUUGAAUCACUUUUGCUACACAGAAGUAUGUUCCAAGGUAUUAAAUCCUUUCUACUAAUUUUAUACAUAAUAGUUGUCAACAGUAAUUUAGUCACAGUGUUUUUCUAUAAAAUCUGUCAUCCUUGUUACUGUAUUUCUUGACAGGACUAGGGUUAUUCAGUUAUUAAGUUUCAAAGAAUUUUUCAAAUUAUAAAUUCUUACAUUCUCUUAUUUUUUCAAUAUGUAAAUAUAUUUUGUACUAUAAGAGUAAUUACUUGUUAAAAGAGUAAUUGUAGGAAAACUUAGAUUUGUGAACAGUUAAAAUAUUAAGUUAAAGAAAUGAUUAUUUAUUUUAUUUGAAAUAUCGGUGAAAUUUUUUUUUUAAAUAGAGUAUGGGGAAAUUAUGAACUGGGUUGAUUGAAAGCAUGGUUGUUUACAUUUUAGAAACUCCACUAUCUCCAUAUUUCGAAACUCACCCUCUCUUGAAAUUUUUUUCUUCAUAUUUACAUGCUUAUUAAUGUGAACUUAAAUUUUUUUUUCUUUUUUUGUAAUGGGAUAAACUUUUAUUAUUGUAAUUUCUAGAAAUACAGUUGCAAGUGAAGUAAGAAAAUUAUUUGGUAAAAAUAUAAUUAUGUUUUCACUACUAGCGCAUAUUAUUGUGAAAUUUGAUAUGAAUGCAAGAAUUCAAGAUCUCCAAAAAAAGAAAUUUUUUUAAUUAUAUAAUUUUUUUUUCUCUGUGGAAUUCAUUUUUCUAAUUGUGCUGAGAGCUGUAUAUAUAUUAGUGCACAAUUUAGUGAGAAAUUUUGUUUUAUUAUGCUGAAAAUUUAUUAUAUAUGCUCUGUUUUAACCUCAUCUGUGAUAAAUAUGUAUUACCAUGUGUGAGUAUAUAAAUUUUACUGUUAACUGUCUCACUAAAAUUAUAAAUUCCAUGUGUUUAUUUUAUUAACAAUUGAAGGUAAUUAAACAUUUGUUUUAAACAUUUUUAUAACUAAUUGAAGUUUUUUUUCUCGUUACGUCUCUUACAAAUGAAAAAAAUAUAGAGGCUUUUCUAGCAUUUAUUUUUAUCUUAAUAUGGCACUUCAAGUUUUCUUCUGCGUGAAAUGCUUGUAGUGUAUGGUGCCAUGUAGAUUUUAUUUAUAACUUUUUUUAAAGAAAAAUUAUAAUAACGUAAUUUUUAAUUCAGUACUUACAAUGAAUGCUUUUGAUAUUGAUUUGUAUUUCUUAGUUAAUUUUUUAUUUAAUAUUUUAAGUUAUUCUAUAAAUCCUGUUUCUAAAUAUGUAUUAAAAAUUUUUUUUGCACUUUUGGAGUAGGUAUAUUUAUUAUGAUUACUAUAACUCAGAGAUCUCUGCAUCAAUACAUUCAAUAAUAAUUUAGAGAAUUUGUCAUACAGUAUUUAAUGUUGCUUUCUAUAUUUUUAAUAAAAAAAAAAACUUUCUGUUAAAAUUAUGUGAGAAAUGUUUGCUAUUUUGUAAAGUUUUUUUUAAAUUAUUUAACCAAGAAUUAAAAAGAAAAAAAAAUCCGCUUUAAUUUGCCAUUUACAACACAAUGCCUUUACUUUCAGUCUGUUGUAGAUAUGCAUGCUUUCUUGUAAUAAAAAAUUGUAAAUUAUGUA